rnacentral:rRNA from 1 species
GAUGAACGCUGGCGGCGUGCCUAACACAUGCAAGUCGAGCGAACUUCUUCGGAAGAGAGCGGCGGACGGGUGAGUAACGCGUGGGUAACCUGCCCUGUACACACGGAUAACAUACCGAAAGGUAUGCUAAUACGAGAUAAUAUGCUUUUAUCGCAUGGUAGAAGUAUCAAAGCUCCGGCGGUACAGGAUGGACCCGCGUCUGAUUAGCUAGUUGGUAAGGUAACGGCUUACCAAGGCGACGAUCAGUAGCCGACCUGAGAGGGUGAUCGGCCACAUUGGAACUGAGACACGGUCCAAACUCCUACGGGAGGCAGCAGUGGGGAAUAUUGCACAAUGGGCGAAAGCCUGAUGCAGCAACGCCGCGUGAGCGAUGAAGGCCUUCGGGUCGUAAAGCUCUGUCCUCAAGGAAGAUAAUGACGGUACUUGAGGAGGAAGCCCUGGCUAACUACGUGCCAGCCGCCGCAGUAA